rnacentral:rRNA from 1 species
UACGUAGGGUGCAAGCGUUGUCCGGAAUUAUUGGGCGUAAAGAGCUCGUAGGCGGUUUGUCGCGUCGAAUGUGAAAACCCGGGGCUCAACUCCGGGCCUGCAUUCGAUACGGGCAGACUAGAGUGCGGUAGGGGAGACUGGAAUUCCUGGUGUAGCGGUGAAAUGCGCAGAUAUCAGGAGGAACACCGGUGGCGAAGGCGGUGCUCUGGGCCAGUACUGACGUGGAGGAGCGAAAGCGUGGGGAGCAAACAGG